rnacentral:rRNA from 1 species
GAUGAACGCUAGCGGCAGGCCUAAUACAUGCAAGUCGAACGGUGUCUUCGGACAUAGUGGCGCACGGGUGCGUAACACGUAUGCAACCUACCUUACAUUGGGGGAUAGCCUUUUGAAAGGGAGAUUAAUACCGCAUAAGACAGUAGCUGGGCAUCCAGCAGCUGUUAAAGAUUUAUCGAUGUAAGCUGGGCAUGCGUCCAAUUAGCUAGUUGGUGAGGUAACGGCUCACCAAGGCAAUGAUUGGUAGGGGAACUGAGAGGUCAAUCCCCCACACUGGCACUGGGAUACGGGCCAGACUCCUACGGGAGGCAGCAGUAGGGAAUAUUGGGCAAUGGACGCAAGUCUGACCCAGCCAUGCCGCGUGCAGGAUGAAGGCGUUAUGCGUUGUAAACUGCUUUUAUACAGGAAGAAACGACUCUUGCGAGAGGCAUUGACGGUACUGUAUGAAUAGGCACCGGCUAACUCCGUGCCAGCCGCCGCAGUAACAC